rnacentral:rRNA from 1 species
UUGGAAACUGGUUAACUUGAGUGCAAAAGAGGAAAGUGGAACUCCAUGUGUAGCGGUGGAAUGCGUAGAUAUAUGGAAGAACACCAGUGGCGAAGGCGGCUUACUGGACUGCAACUGACGUUGAGGCUCGAAAGUGUGGGUAGCAAACAGGAUUAGAUACCCUGGUAGUCCACACCGUAAACGAUGAACACUAGGUGUUAGGAGGUUUCCGCCUCUUAGUGCCGAAGCUAACGCAUUAAGUGUUCCGCCUGGGGAGUACGACCGCAAGGUUGAAACUCAAAGGAAUUGACGGGGACCCGCACAAGCGG